rnacentral:rRNA from 1 species
AUUGAACGCUGGCGGCAGGCCUAACACAUGCAAGUCGAGCGAGCGGCGGACGGGUGAGUAAUGUCUGGGGAACUGCCUGAUGGAGGGGGAUAACUACUGGAAACGGUAGCUAAUACCGCAUACCAUCAGAUGUGCCCAGAUGGGAUUAGCUUGUAGGGGGGGUAAUGGCUCACCUAGGCGACGAUCCCUAGCUGGUCUGAGAGGAUGACAAGCCACCUUGGAAUUGAGACACGGGCCGGACUCCUACGGGAGGCAGCAGUGGGGAAUAUUGCACAGUGGGCGCAAGCCUGAUGCAGCCAUGCCGCGUGUGUGACGAGGGCCUUCGGGUUGUAAAGCACUUUCAGCGGGGAGGCGUUACUCGCAGAAGAAGCACCGGCUAACUCCGUGCCAGCAGCCGCGGUAAUAC